CCAAUAGCGUAUAUUAAAGUUGUUGCAGUUAAAAAGCUCGUAGUUGAAUUUCGGGAUCAAUUUGCUGGUCGUGCCUUCGGUACGUACUGGUAUUAUUGGUUUCUCCUUUCUGAUGAAUCGCGAUGUCAUUAAUUUGGUGUCGUGGGGAAUCAGGACUGUUACUUUGAAAAAAUUAGAGUGUUUAAAGCAGGCUCACGCUUGAAUACAUUAGCAUGGAAUA
rnacentral:rRNA from 1 species